rnacentral:tRNA from 1 species
GGGGGCAUAGCUCAGUGGUCAGAGCAGGCGGCUCAUAACCGCUUGGUCGCUGGUUCGAGCCCAGCUGCCCCCACCA